rnacentral:lncRNA from 1 species
ACAAUUGAUAAUUCUAUCUUAUGCAUUCACUAUUUCUUCUCUCUUCCAAACUUAUAAUAACAAUAUGUAAUAUUAUACUAUCUUAAAAGAUUGCAUAAAACAUUUUAUAAUCCAAUCAUUGGAAUUCUCUAAAACUAUUUAUCAUUCCUAGUAAUCUGCUUCACACAAUUGUAGACUCCAUAGUCUUUUUUUUGUAGAACACUCUCAACUCUUAAUAAUCAAUGUAUUAUAAUUCUCCUAAUCAUAUCCAUAGUUCAAAAACAUCUUCAAUCAUCGACUUUCCAAUUCUCCACUUAUAAUUGAGCACACAAUAAAUUCAAUUUUUCAUUGGACAUCAUAUAAAUUAAAUCUUACUUUUAUUAUAAACUUUCACUUCACAUUAUUUAAAAUCUAUCCAUUUAUUUUCUUUUAUAAAAAUAAAAAUAAGAGGUUGGACCAAGCUUACCUUGGCUCAUGACUAUCAUAGUUUGGCCUUGUUUAUUUCUUCUUCAACCAAUUUAU